GUAAUGGCAAAGCCCCAGGGGAAGAUGGGAUUGUCAACGAAUAUAUAAAAAGCACGGUGAAUCAAUUUUUGCCUAUUUACACUAAGUUAUUCAAUUUAGUGUUUGAUUCUGGAAUCGUUCCCAAAUCAUGGCUUAUUGGUAUCAUUAAGCCGUUAUUUAAAAACAAGGGGGAUCCAAAUAAUUUGGAUAAUUACCGAGCUAUUUGUCUUACAUCGAAUUUAGGAAAAGUGUUCACCUCUAUACUUAAUUCAAGACUUAAUGCUCUGUCAGACGAGAUCGGGAUUAUAACUGAUGCCCAGGGUGGUUUUCGUAAGGGGUAUUCUGUCCAAGAUAGUAUGUUUAUCAUGCAUGCUUUAAUUUCACUAUAUUUGAGUUCGGGAAAGAAAUUAUUUUGCGCUUUUGUAGAUUUUAAAAAAGCUUUUGAUACAGUGUGGAGGGUGGGACUAUGGCAAAAAUUAUUAAAAUAUAACAUUGGUGGGAAAAUGUUUAAAGUUAUAUUGAGCAUGUAUACGGAUAUUAAGUCUUGUGUUAAAAAUGGAGAACUAAAAACAGAUUUUUUCCCGUGUGAGGUAGGUGUAAGACAGGGAGAAAAAAUGUCACCUUUUCUCUUUGCCUUAUACCUGAAUGACUUGGAGGAAUAUCUGGAUGAAAACUCUGUUGA
rnacentral:lncRNA from 1 species